rnacentral:lncRNA from 1 species
UAUAGUUGAUCAACAUCAUCAAAAAAUAUUGAUAACAAUACAAAUCUUAAAUUGAUAAAUAAAAAUCAUAUAUUAAAUAAUCAAAAUCCUCGUAAGUAAACAUAUAAACAUCUUGAUAAUAACAAUUUAAAGCAAAAUAAAUCCUCAUUACAUUUGUUAAAUUUGUUAUAUUUUAAUAAUACUACAAAAAUAUAAUUGGGGUCUCAGAUAAUAGCUAUUUUAAUAGCCAUCAAAAUCUAAUUCCAUAUUACAUUAAAUUAUUGAACAGUUUUAAUUAAAAAA